rnacentral:rRNA from 1 species
GGACUACAAGGGUUUCUAAUCCUGUUUGCUCCCCACGCUUUCGUGCCUGAGCGUCAAUCUCAGCCCAGGGGGCUGCCUUCGCCAUCGGUGUUCCUCCACAUCUCUACGCAUUUCACUGCUACACGUGGAAUUCCACCCCCCUCUGCCAGAUUCAAGUCCCCUAGUUUCCACUGCCAUUCCCAGGUUGAGCCCGGGGAUUUCACAGCGGACUUGAGGAACCGCCUACGCACUCUUUACGCCCAGUAAUUCCGAUUAACGCUCGCACCCUACGUAUUACCGCGGCGGCUGGCAC